GGGGGCCGGGGCCACCGCGGGUCCCUGUUGGCCGGAGGGUCUCGGCGGCGGCGAUAGGCCUGGCAGCCAGCUCGGGCGGCAGGUCGCGGGUCGGGAAGACGUCAGCACUCACCCCUGGGCCCACAGGAGGGUCCCGGCGAGGACCCCCGCCCUCUGGCUCCCGGGGCGCUCGAGUGGGCGCUCUCAGAGGCGGUUGGCUGAGAGCACGGAGGCGCCCAGGGACAGCACCGGCGGAGCGGCCCGCAGAGGGCCAGGGCAGAAGCGCGAAAGGCGCGGGCUGGCCCCUUCUGGGAGCCGUAGCGGAAGAGUGUUCGUGGUCAUGUGACGCGGAAAAGGGCGGACGCGUGGCCCACGCACUGGAACGGGUCCACGAGUCUGUCACCCAGGUUGGAGUGCGGUGGUGUGAUCUUGGCUCCCUGCAACCUCCACCUCCCAGGUUCAAGCGAUUCUCCUGCCUCAGCCUCCCAAGUAGCUGGGAUUACAGGCACCCACCACCAUGAAGAAUGGCAUUUUUAAAAGAUGGCUUUCUUAAAAAAGGAUACUAAGUUGCUCUUCUACUCAUACCAAGGCUGGAUUGCAGUGGUGCGAUUUUGGCUCACUGCACCCUCCGCCUCCCUGGUUCAAGUGAUUCUCCUGCGUCAGCCUCCCAAGUAGCUGGGACUACAGUCCUGCAGACACAUUCUGGGACUGCGUCUUAUGAGUGCUGCUCACUCUGUUUCCUGCAGAAGACAUACAGAGCGGUUCACAUAGAGUAGGGCUAUGAUUUUGAUUCAGCAAUUCUUCAAACCACUGAUGCUGGUUGACCAUUUGACUUUGUUUUUGAAGUAUUUUUUACAUACAGUGUACAGAACAUUUCCGCUGGAUACUUGGAUACUGAGCAGGAGUAACAAGAGGAACAGCUCCUACCUCCCCCCCUGCCCCUUCCCUCACAAGCCUGUGAGUCAGGGCAGGGGCAGCCACUGAAAGUAGCAGAGGCCUUCAUAAAGGAGAAGUGAGUGGGAUCUGAGGGGACAAAGGAUCCCUGCCCAAGUGCAUGUCAUCCAGUGGCUGACCACAGCGUUCACGGCUGCCGCCAUUAGUCUUUCAUCUUUGGAUUGAGACCCGGUCUCCCAGAAGACCCUAUGCCAAUGCAAAUGGCUACUGGACAGUGAUAAUGUAUAAUGUUCCCUAUCCAGGUUGUCAGGUAGACCUUUGGAUUAACUCCCCAAAAGCAGCCCCCUAGGAGACAGGCGACAGCACCGCAGUCAGGGGAUGCAGGCGUGGAGGGUAAGAGCACGCGUCUAGAUUUCAGUUCAGUCUCUACCAUGUUAUUAGCUAUGCCACCUGAUGCCUUGGCUUCCUCAUCUGUCCAAUGCAGUUAAUUAUAGCACCAGCCUCUAGGGUUGAUGUGAGAAAUAAAGGAAUGGAGGCACAUAAGACCCUUAGAACAGUGCCCAACACACAGGCCAAGGGCUCUGUAACUUCAACUCUCAAUGGUCAAUGAUACAUGAUUUGAUGACAUUGUCUGAAGACCAAGGUGCUGGUGGCAGAGUCAGGACUGUGGGUGGUAGCAAGGGAGAGAGAGGCCCUGUGUAGUCAGGGGAGUGGCCCGAGGGGCAGAGGAACCCAAUCAGUAAACAGAGAUGUUUUGUACUUCAAAGUUUUGCCCACAGGCAGUUCUGUGACUGAAGACGGGGAGGUCAAAAGCAGAGGUGGUGACAGCUGGGAGUAACCGUGUGGUGUGGAGAGUCCUGGCCUGGCACAGAGUUGUCAAGAGAAAGCUUGUGACUCAUCCUUUAUUUAAGCCUCAGGACACUGGCUAUAAAAUGUUGUGGUUUUUUUUUUUUCCUUUCAAAAUUUGACUUAGUGGCUAAUAUUUUUUUUAAAAAACACCAUGAGAUUUUAAAUAAAAAUUCCAAUUCCUUUCUUCUCAUGAAAACUCGGAAGAUUUAUUAAUGCAGGGCCUGACAUGUUGCACAGUAACAAUGGGCUGCAGCCAAGUGCCCGCUGGCCCGUUCAAAUGUACCCUCAGUUUGUUUAUUGCAUUUCUGCAACUCUCUUGUCCCCAGCACUGAGGAUGUUGCAAUUUUUUAAAGAGCAUUUGCAUCGUUAAGAAGAAAGUGAAAUACCACAUUUUUCUAUGACUCUUUUAAAAGUAGGAACAUGAAAAAAUGGACUGAGUAAGGUUGUGUCUUUUGAGGAAAAAAAGGGAGAGAGCAUAUUUCUUUAUGGAAGAGAAAGAGGGUGUGUGUUUCAUGCAGCUGCUUCACUGCCUUCAGUUAACUGCUGUUCUCUUGUAGGACUCUGUGUUCACAAUUCCUGCCUAACACAAUACUUUGCUAGGGGUCAGCAACUAAAAUGGAAUAGGGAAAAAUACCGGCUUUUCUUGGAUUUUGGCUGACUUUAUGUUAAUAGAAUAUAUGUUUUUGAAACUCUCCCUCCAAGUUCAUCUAAACCACGUUGUGACAUCCACCAAUCUAAUGCCUUUAUUUUCUUCCAGUGUAUUGACCCUUUUGUGGUUGCAAAAACACUUGCAUGCAAAUUGUUUGUACCUGGGAUUCCUUUUACACCAUGUAACCCUGGCAAUCCUGGGAGACCGGGAGGCCCUGGGAUAUAAGGGCACUGUGUACACAGGAGGCCUGGUUCUCCUGCAAUGAGAGCAUACUAGCAUUACUUAAAAAGCUACAUCAAGUCCUCAGAAAGAACAAAUAUUUUCCAACCACACUAUCAUUUAUUACAUUUAAACAUUUUUAUGUAGUGAAAAUUAUCUAGGACGUUAUACAUAUUAAUUUAAAAAUUCAUCUAUUAUAUAUCUGCUUACUUUAAUGUUCUGAGCUAUACAGUUCUUCUGAAAGGGGAAAUUCCAAGAGUCUAACAUAAAACAUCUAUUUCAGUGUUUCUUUCCUUGCAUGCAGGCAAAAACUCACAUUUUAGGGAUAUCCAACAAUUUAUUGCAUGGGUGCCAAAUAAAUCAUCGAUUUACAGAUAAAUGAAUACUUUUAGCUAAUGGAAAAGAAGUCAUCACUGACUGGUAGCUAUUUGGGAUCAUUGUUAUCUCAGGGGGAAAAAUCAAUGAUAAUAAUGACGAUGAAAAAGGCUUAUCCUAAUACAACAUUAUUGAUUGAACCAACCUUUGGGCCCAUCAACUCCUGGGAUUCCUGGAGACCCUAGAUAGCCUGGCAGUCCGCGAUCUCCAGGUGGACCCUUGCGAAAAACGAUGUCACCUAUAAAAAUACAGCACCAAAGACAAUUUUUUAUUUGUGUUUUUUUUCAAUUAGCAAGUAUUGUAAUAUAUGUAUUAUUUAAAAUGCAUCUCUCUCAUCUUUGUAUUGGAAGCCUAGUCUUUAGAAGUUUAUCUGCAACUGAGAAAGCAUGGUGACCAGCUCUUCACUUCAUAUUACAUAGAUGUGGUAUUUUUAAGGUAGUUGAUCUUUGCAAGCUCAUUGUAUAAUUUUUUUUUGUCACAGAAUCAACCUAUUUUAUCUUACUUAGUUGUUUCCAAUUAUUCCAAGUUGAUAUGGUUUGGCUGUGUCCCAAAUCUCAUCUUGAAUUGUAGUUCUAUAAUCCCCAUGUGUCAUGAAAGGGACCUGGUGGGAGGUAAUUUAAUCAUGGGGGCAGUUACCCUCAUGCUGUUCUUGUAAUAGUGAAUGAGUGCUUAUGAGAUCUGAUGGUUUUAUAAGGGGCUUUUCCCCAUUUUGCUCAGCACUUCUCCUUGUUGCCAUCAUGUGAAGAAGGACAUGUUUGCUUGUCCUUCUGCCACGAGCGUAAGUUUACUGAGGCCUCCCCAGCUGUGCUGAACUGUGAGUCAAUUAAACCUCUUUAAAUUACCCAGUCUCAGGUAUGCCUUUAUUAGCAGCAUGAGAAUGGACUAAUACACAGACAAUCCCUUUAGCAUCUUGAGGCAAAGGAUCAACUCUUAUUCUGGAUAUUUUUGGAUACAUUGUAUUUUCCUGAUAUACUGUAGACGCUUAAUAUAUUGAGUAAAAGAAAAAUGGAUUCUGACUCAGGGUAUCAUCUGUUUUCUCUUUGUUGCUUGUCCACAUCAGUUGAGUUGUCAUCCUUAAAGCAGGUCUCUAAGAAAGCUCUUCUCAGCUUCCACAUUAUCUGCUACUGUAAUGUUGCAGUGAACAGCUACUUCUCUUAAACUGGUUAAUUGUGUUCAGUAAUCUAAUUUUUGGCUUUGCCAUUUCAAUUACAGGUUGAAGGCAAUGGUGAUGAAAGUAAAUAUUUAAAAACACUACCAUAGCUGUCCCAAAUUUCAGAAAAACAAGGUACCACUGGAACCAUUUAAUUUUGUUGGAACACAGAAUGACCAUCUUGUGAUCAGUUUUCUGCAUCUUUAAAAUACCUGGAAGGUCAUCUUUAAAUAGUACAAUCUGAUAAAAGUUUAAUACUUAGUGUAGACUUAUAUGAAUACUUCUACAUUCAUACAUUUUUGUAUACUUAUACAUUUUCAUACUCAAUUAAUGCUUAACUCAAAAAAUAUUUGAGUACCUGCAGUGUUCCCCAUGCUACAUACUGGGCUUAAACAGCCAAAAACACACAGUCUUUGACCUCAAAAUACUUUGAUUCUUGUAAGAAAAACUGACAAAGACAAAGAGAAGGCAAUGUGAAAACUUCUACAGUUGGGAUAACCUUGGAGGUUACAGGAUGUGGACUCACUGAAAGCUUUCUGCUGGACUUGAACUUGAAGCUGCAGUCUGAAGGACAGACGGGUGUUGCUUAGCGAAGGGAAAGUAGGAAGCAAAGACCCCUGGACAGAGUGUAGCAGGCACAGAGGGAGCAUGACACCUCCGGGAGAGAGCCGCAAGCACCUGGGCCCAGAUCCCAGCUUUAGCUUCAUUAGCCCUGUGAACUCUGUAUGUCAGCCUUGACAUAGAAAAAAAGAGGAUACUAAACCUCCAUCUUAAAAGAGACUUGGAAGAAGCUGGGAUUAUAGGCACACCACCACACCUGGCCCCAGAAAAGGGAAUCCUUGACCUGCAAGAAUCGAGGAAUAUUGUUUCUGACAUGCUUAGCGGACCUACUGCUGGUGUUCUUAACCAUUUCCUUCCUAAGUGGAACUUCUUUUGAGGUUAGUAGAAGCUGCAAACAGAGUGAUAUGGAAUUGAAUAUAAGAAAAUACACAGUGAGGAGUGCUAAGGAUUCCUCUGAAAUGUAAUGAAAAGGUAGAUUUCAUUUAGCAUUCAGUAUAUUUAUCUUGAAGGAAAAAAGGUGGAAAUAUCAAAGGUUUGGAAAAAAAAAACCUCUUUGCUUUUUCAUAUGCUAGAUGGAUCAAUUACUUUGUUGACUUAUUUAACAACAGCCUUGUGGUUAAGCAAUAUAUAUAAAAUCACAAAAGUAUUCUAUUAAUAAUAUAACAUAAUAAUGUCCACCAUGAAAUCUGUAAUGAUAUGCAUGCACCUACCAAGUGUUGGGCACAGUGCUAAGUGAUUUCACAAAAUACUUAUUUAAUCUUCCUGGCAACUCCACUAAAGUAUUUAGGAACUGCUAUAGUUUGAAUGUGCUCCCUCCAAAAUUCAGGUGUUAUCAAUGUGAUAUAAGUAAGAGGUAGUGUCUGUAGGAGGUGAUUAGGCCAUGAGGGUUUCUCUCUCAUUAAUGGGAUUAAGGCCCUAUUAAAAGAGGCUUUGAGCAGCCUCAGGUCAGCUUGCCCUUCUGCUUUCUGCCAUGUGAGGAUGCAGCCAAAAAAGCCCUCACCAGA